rnacentral:misc_RNA from 1 species
ACACGUUGCUCCACACAAUUCUUGAGUGCUAAAUUUCCACGCUCCAUAACUUGGUCCCGUAUUUGACGUUUAUUUCCAGUUAAAUCAUGCCCACCUUGACCAGUAUAAACAACAUCAUCUGCAUUAUCCAGAUCAUCCUCAUACAUUCCUGACAAAACAAUUGCUACCGCAAGAGGUAAUGUAUAGUUACCAUACUCCUUGCUGUAGGACAUGCCCAUGUAAUCA